UUCAUUUAUGUAAUACGAGUUGAUUAAUUCUAUCCAUUAUUAUUAUUCAUUAUAUUGAUUGAAAUAGCAAUAGUAUAGUGAUAGUAAUAGUAAUGGUAAUAGUCGGAGUAGUAAGAGUUAGAGAAGAGAAAUAUAAAUAAUUUAAUAGGAGAAAAGAAGGUGAGAUUUAAUAAAAGAAUUUAUUUACGGAUAAGCGAAUUUUUGAUUUAUGUAAUACGAGUUGAUUAAUUCUAUCCAUUAUUAUUAUUCAUUAUAUUGAUUGAAAUAGCAAUAGUAUAGUGAUAGUAAUAGCAAUGGUAAUAGUCGGAGUAGUAAGAGUUAGAGAAGAGAAUCUAUUAUCAGCUUGCAGAAAUUUAAUAGGAGAAAAGAAGGUGAGAUUUAAUAAAAGAAUUUAUUUACAGAUAAGCGAAUUUUU
rnacentral:misc_RNA from 1 species